rnacentral:rRNA from 1 species
UACGUAGGGUCCGAGCGUUGUCCGGAAUUAUUGGGCGUAAAGGGCUCGUAGGCGGUUUGUCGCGUCGGGAGUGAAAACUCAGGGCUCAACCCUGAGCGUGCUUCCGAUACGGGCAGACUAGAGGUAUGCAGGGGAGAGCGGAAUUCCUGGUGUAGCGGUGGAAUGCGCAGAUAUCAGGAGGAACACCGGUGGCGAAGGCGGUUCUCUGGGCAUUACCUGACGCUGAGGAGCGAAAGCAUGGGGAGCGAACAGG